GGUAAAAAAGCUCGUAGUUGGAUUUCUGUUGAGGACGACCGGUCCAUACCACGUAUGCGCAUCUGGCUCGGCCUCGGCAUCCUUUCGAAAGACGUUUCUGCGCUUGAUUGCGUGGAGCGGAUCUCGGAACUUUUACUUUGAGGAAAUUAGAGUGUUCACGGCAGGCUAUCGCCAGAAUACAUUAGCGUGGAAUAAUACUAUAGGAUCUUGGUUCUAUUUUGUUGGUUUCUAGAAUUGAGAUAAUGAUUAAUAGGGACAAUUGGGGGCAUUCGUAUUAACACGUCAGAGGUGGAAUUCUUGGAUUGUGUUACGACGAACUACUGCGAAAGCAUUUGCCAAGGAUGUUUUCAUUGAUCAAGAACGAAAGUAAGGGGAUCGAAGACGAUUAGAUGCCGUCGUAGUCUUUACCAUAAACUAUGCCAACUAGAGAUCCGGCAUCGUUCACUUACGACUUGCUGGGCACCUUAUGGAUACUAAAGUCUUUGGGUUCCGGGGGGAGUAUGGUCGCAAGGCUGAAACUUAAAGGAAUUGACGGAAGGGCACCACCAGGAGUGGAGCCUGCGGCUUAAUUUGACUCAACACGGGGAAACUCACCAGGUCCAGACAUAAUAAGGAUUGACAGAUUGAUAGCUCUUUCUUGAUUUUAUGGGUGGUGGUGCAUGGCCGUUCUUAGUUCGUGGAGUGAUUUGUCUGCUUAAUUGCGUUAACGAA
rnacentral:rRNA from 1 species